GAGUUUGAUCCUGGCUCAGAGCGAACAUUGGCGGUAGGCUUAACACAUGCAAGUCGAGCGAGGCUUCGAGCCGAGCGGCGAACGGGUGAGUAAUACUUGGGAAUCUGCCCUGAAGUGGGGGGAUAACGUCCAGAAAUGGACGCUAAUACCGCAUAAUCCAUAUCGGGAAAGCGCGCUGCGCUUUAGGAUGAGCCCAAGCCUGAUUAGCUAGUUGGUGGGGUAAAAGCCCACCAAGGCGACGAUCAGUAGCUGGUCUGAGAGGAUGAUCAGCCACACUGGAACUGAGACACGGUCCAGACUCCUACGGGAGGCAGCAGUGGGGAAUCUUGCGCAAUGGGGGCAACCCUGACGCAGCCAUACCGCGUGUGCGAUGAAGGUCUUCGGAUUGUAAAGCACUUUCGGCGGGGACGACAAUGACGGUACCCGCAUAAGAAGUCACGGCUAACUUCGUGCCAGCAGCCGCCGCAGU
rnacentral:rRNA from 1 species